rnacentral:rRNA from 1 species
AUGAACGCUGGCGGCGUGCCUAAUACCUGCAAGUCGAGCGAACGGACGAGAAGCUUGCUUCUCUGAUGUUAGCGGCGGACGGGUGAGUAACACGUGGAUAACCUACCUAUAAGACUGGGAUAACUUCGGGAAACCGGAGCUAAUACCGGAUGAUAUUUUGAACCGCAUGGUUCAAAAGUGAAAGACGGUCUUGCUGUCACUUAUAGAUGGAUCCGCGCUGCAUUAGCUAGUUGGUAAGGUAACGGCUUACCAAGGCAACGAUGCAUAGCCGACCUGAGAGGGUGAUCGGCCACACUGGAACUGAGACACGGUCCAGACUCCUACGGGAGGCAGCAGUAGGGAAUCUUCCGCAAUGUGCGAAAGCCUGACGGGGCAACGCCGCGUGAGUGAUGAAGGUCUUCGGAUCGUAAAACUCUGUUAUUAGGGAAGAACAUAUGUGUAAGUAACUGUGCACAUCUUGACGGUACCUAAUCAGAAAGCCACGGCUAACUACGUG